rnacentral:rRNA from 1 species
GCUGGCAGCCAUAUCACCCUGUAGCCCAAGACUGGUUACCCACUGAAGCUAAGCAGGGUUGAGCUGGUCAGUACCUGGAUGGGAGGUGUGUGUUCUGGUGCAAUAUGGCUGCCGUCG